UACAGAGGUCCCGAGCGUUGUUCGGAUUCACUGGGCGUAAAGGGUGUGUAGGAGGUGAGGUAAGUCGGAUGUGAAAUCCCACUGCUUAACAGUGGAACUGCAUUCGAUACUACUUUGCUAGAGGAUCGGAGAGGAGAGCGGAAUUCAUGGUGUAGCGGUGAAAUGCGUAGAUAUCAUGAGGAACACCAGCGGCGAAAGCGGCUCUCUGGAAGAUUCCUGACUCUGAAACACGAAAGCUAGGGGAGCAAACGGG
rnacentral:rRNA from 1 species